GUAGGUGGCAAGCGUUGUCCGGAAUUAUUGGGGGGUAAAGCGCGCGCAGGUGGUUCUUUAAGUCUGAUGUGAAAGCCCCCGGGCUCAACCGGGGAGGGUCAUUGGAAACUGGGGAACUUGAGUGCAGGAGAGGAAAGUGGAAUUCCACGUGUAGCGGCGAAAUGCGUAGAUAUGUGGAGGAACACCAGUGGCGAAGGCGACUUUCUGGCCUGUAACUGACACUGAGGCGCGAAAGCGUGGGGAGCAAACAGGAUUAGAUACCCUGGUAGUCCACGCCGUAAACGAUGAGUGCUAAGUGUUGGGGGGUUUCCGCCCCUCAGUGCUGCAGCUAACGCAUUAAGCACUCCGCCUGGGGAGUACGGUCGCAAAGACUG
rnacentral:rRNA from 1 species